rnacentral:lncRNA from 1 species
UGAUGAAUAUUAUAAAGGAACUAAAUCUUUUAUUAAAUUCCCAAUCUUAGUUACUUCAGGAAAAUGUGAAUAAUGUGCUAAUCCAUGAAAUUACACUUUACACUUUGAUUAAGUCAUUAGUGGAGCGUGUGUGGUUAACCGGCACACUAACAUGGACUUAACAAGGUAGGUAAAGGGUGACUUAAGGUUUAUCAUAGUAUUGGUGGAGCGCGUGUGGUUAACCGGAACAUCGAUUGAGUGAUAAAUAUUAAGGGUACCAAGUGAUUUGCAUGGUUACUUCACACAUUGUUUUGUGAUCCUCAGUAUCCGAGUCAAAAAACUUGGACGACACACUUGAGAUUGAAACAUGCCUUUGAAAAGUUCAUUGAAUCUCAAAAGAAUAUAGGAAUUUCUAAGAACCAAUUAAAACCUAAGAGUUUAUAUUUCAUUUUUUGGUGGAAAUUGGUGAAUCGUCAUUCACCUACCUUUCAAAUAUGUUAUAGCUUAGAUUACGGCAUACCUCUUCUAAGUUAUAAUAUAUUGUGAUUGGAUCCUAGCCUUAAUAUUACAUUUGGGUGUUUUAUUAAGGACUCUCUUUAUAUUUAAACUAAACUUGUUCUCUUCUUUUUUAGAUGUCUUCCAACAACACUGCUUUUGGCUCAAACCCUACUGGCUCCUUCUCCCUCAUGAAACUAUGUGGGAGGGUCAUCUUCGAUGGUUCCAACUUUAUGGAUUGGAUCUGGAACAUCGGGAUGAUGACUCGUUACAAGGACAAGGAAUAUGUCCUCGAAAAGGAGCUAAAGGAGAUCGAUGAGUCCACUGCUACUCCCCAGGAGAUUGCUGACUUCUGGACUCAUGAAAGAGAUGCCACCAAAGUGGCAUGCAUCAUGAUGGCCACCAUGAUAGUUGAACUCCAGAAGUCCUAUGAGGAUUACUACCCUUUUGAGAUACACCAAGAUAUGAUGGAAAGAUACCAUCAGACUACUCGUCAAGAGCGGUAUGAAAUAAUCUCCUCCAUGAUAACAACCAAGAUGAAGGACGGAGAAUCCGUCACAGCCCACAUGCAGAAAAUGCAAAGCUAUAUGGAUCAUUUGUUGAAUCUUAAUGUGAACUUCCCCAAGGAGCUUGCAAUAGAUAUCACUUUGCACUCCUUACCCUCGUGUUAUGAACAAUUCCGCAUGACAUACCACAUGAAUAAGGAAGAAGUCACACUCAGCAAACUUCAAGGACUCCUAAAGACCGCAGAAACAGGUCUUAAAGGUAAGUCGGUUGUUAACACUCCUACUUCUACUCCAAACUCUACCCCUGUCUUGGCAAGUAGGAAAGAUAGAGGGAAGAAGAGGAAGAGCUCUUCGAAGGGUACCAAGGGUAGGAUCCUUGAUGGAUCUUCUUCAAGUGGAACCAAGAAAGGUUUUGUCACUCCUUCUUCUGACCCAAAAGAGGCUAAAUGCUUCUAUUGCCAUGAAAAGUCGCACUGGAAGCGAACUGCCCAAAGUACCAACAAGAUGUGAAGGAUGGGAAAGUUAAACCCAACCAUGCAGGUAUUUACACUAUUCUAUCUAAUAACUCACCCUAUUCUAACUCUUGGGUCCUUAAUACCGGUUGUGGUAUUUAUAUAUGUUAUGAUUUGAAGGGACUAAGAAGAAGUGAGAAUGUGGNUCUCCUCUAUGAUAACAACCCGGAUGAAGGAUGGUGAACCCAUCACGGGCCACAUGCAAAAAUGCAAAGGUAUGUGGACCGCUUGCUGAAACUGAAUGUGAACUUCCCCGAGGAGUUGGCAAUUGACAUCAUUUUGCACUCCCUACCUUCGUGUUAUGAUCAAUUCCAUAUGACAUACCACAUGAACAAGGAGGAAGUUACACUUAGAAAACUUCAAGGACUCUUGAAGACCGCUGAAACUGGUCUUAAGAGUAAAUCGAUUGUUACCACUCCUACUCCUACUCCUACCGCGGCCCAUGUCUUGGCAAUCAGGCAAAGGAAAGAAGAGGAAGAUCCCUUCGAAGGGUACCAAGGGUAAGACCCUUGAUGGCAUUGUCGUCUUGGACAUGUAAGCAAGAAACGCAUAGGCCAACUCCAAAAGGAUGGAGUCUUGGAGUUAUUUAACCUAAAGUUAGAUGAUAGUUGUGAAUCAUGCUUACUUGGAAAAUUGACAAAGUUACCCUUCAUAGGUUCUUGUGCUAGGGGUGAAGGUUUGUUGGAUCUAGUGCACACGGAUGUGUGUGGACCCUCUAAAUCUGCCACAUGGGAUGCUAAUCGUUAUAAUUUGACUUUUACUGAUGAUUAUAGUAGAUAUGGAUAUGUCUAUUUAAUCAAGCAUAACUCAGAGACUUUUGAAAGGUUUAAAGAGUUUAAACAGGAAGUCGAGAAUCAAUUGGACAGGACCAUUAAGAUGCUUCGAUCUGAUCAUGGUUGUGAGUAUCUUAGUACAAAGUUCCUCGACUAUCUUAAGGAAUGUGGGAUUUUCUCACAAUUGACACCUCCCAGGACACCACAACUUAAUGGUGUAGCUGAGAGGCGCAAUCGAACCUUGUUGGAUAUGGUUCGUUCCAUGAUGAGUCGAGCUUCGCUACCAAUCUCAUUUUGGGGGUAUGCCUUAGAGACGGCCGCCCAUAUCCAUAAUCUGGUCCCUACAAAGAAAGUUACCAAAACUCUUCAUGAGAUAUAGACUGGUAAAGUUCCCAAACUAGACCACAUCAAGAUUUGGGGUUGUGAGGCUUUCGUGAGACGCGAGACUCAUGAUAAGCUCGAACCUCAAAGUGAGAGGUGUAUUUUCAUUGGCUACCCACAGAAAACCUUUGGUUACCUCUUCUACAGACCUAGUGACAAUGUGGUCUUUGUAGCAAGGAGGGGGGUCUUUCAAGAGAGAGAGAUCAUAAGCCAAGGAAACAGUGGGAGGCAAAUUGACCUUGAAGAAAUUCAAGAGUCAAGUGGUGAAGGAACUUCAAACCCUAACACUCAACCUGAAGAGGAAACUCCUGUUGAGCCAAUUGACAAGUCUGAACCUCUAAGGCGUUCCACAAGUGUUAGGAAUGCACUUGAGCAUUAUUAUGGGUUCCAUAUUAUUGCGGAAGUUGAGACACUUAUCAGUGAUGAGACAUUGGUAAGUCUGGAUGAACCUAAUAGUUACGUGGAAGCCAUGGUAGGCCCCGAGUCUACCAAAUGGAAAGAGGCAAUGGACAGCGAGAUACAGUCCAUAUAUGACAAUCAAGUUUGGAACUUGGUUGACAAUGUACCAUGUCGUAAGACAAUUGGGUGCAAAUGGAUCUUCAAGAAAAAGACCGACAUGGAUUGUAAUGUACACACAUAUAACGCGCGACUAGCUACAAAGGGCUUUUCUCAAACUCUGGGAGUUGAUUAUGAUGAGACCUUUUCACCAGUAGCAAAGAUUAAGUCCAUUAGGGUCCUGUUAGCCAUCGCUGCAUUUCAUGAUUAUGAAAUAUGGCAAAUGGAUGUCAAAACCGUCUUCCUUAAUGGAAGUUUGGCUGAGAAUGUUUACAUGAGUCAGCCAGAGGCUUUUGUCAGUACAGAGUACCCUAAUAGAGUGUGUAAGCUCGAUAAAUCCAUUUAUGGAUUAAAACAAGCACCUUGGAGAUGGAAUCUUUGCUUUGAUGAGAAAGUCAAAGAAUUUGGCUUUUCAAGGAGUGAAGAUAAAUCAUGUGUCUAUGUCAAGGCUAGUGGGAGUAUAGUCAUCUUUUUGGUAUUGUAUGUGGAUGACAUACUACUCAUAGGAAAUAACAUCCCAACCCUACAGGAAGUGAAGUCCUGGCUUGGGAAGUGUUUAUCUAUGAAAGACCUAGGAGAAGCUGCCUAUAUUCUAGGGAUUAGGAUUCUGAGAGACCGGAGUAAAAGACUAAUUGGACUUAGUCAGAGUACUUACUUGGAUAAGGUGUUGAAGAGAUUCGGCAUGCAGUACUCCAAGAAAGGAGAGUUACCCAUCCAGAGUAACGACAGACUGAGUAAAAUUCAGAGCCCGAGUACUGAGGCUGAGAUAGCAUAAAUGAGUCGAGUACCUUAUGCUUAUGCAGUAGGUUCAAUCAUGUAUGCUAUGACCUGGACUCGACCUGAUGUAGCCUUUGCUUUGUGCAUGGUUAGCAGAUAUCAGGGGAACCCUGGUAAGGCACACUGGAUUGCGGUAAAGAAUAUCCUCAAGUACGUGUGGAGGACUAAGGAUUGGGUCCUUACCCUCGGUGGGAGUAAUGACUUGAGAGCUGUAGGGUAUAGUGAUGCUAGCGUUUAGAAUGAUAGGGAUAAUUUCCGCUCUCAGUAAGGCUGGAUCUUUACCUUAAAUGGAGGAGCAAUUACUUGGAAGAGUUCCAAGCAAGAGACAGUGGCUUAUUCAACUUGCGAAUCAGAGUAUAUAGCAGCAAGUGAGGCAACAAAGGAGGCGAUAUGGCUGAAGAACUUCAUUGGAGACCUUGGAGUUGUACCAGCUAUAAAGGAGCCAAUGGAAAUUUUCCAUGAUAGUGAAAGUGUAGUUGCCUUAGCCAAGGAACCAAGGGAUCAUGGGAGAUCCAUACACAUUGGCAGUAAACACCAUUACAUCAGACAUCGAAUAGAAGAAGGACUCCUCGUGGCAAUGAGGGUAUCAUCGGAUGAGAGCCCAACAUAUCCCCUCACAAAGGGACUGAAUCGAGUUAAGCAUCUCCAUCAUGCUCGGAGCAUAGGGCUGAAGGAUGAUAUUAGUUUUAGUAGUUAGAUAAUUUUGAAAUUUUUAAAGUGUAAUUGACAUUUGAUGAUGAAUAAAAGUUGUGUUUAUUUAUGAGUAAAGAGUAGCUAUCUCUUGUCAAUCGUUUACUAUAUUUCUUUUGCAUGGUUUGACUUCCAGAAUAAUUAUGUUUGAUAUAUCAUAUUAUUCAAAUCUCCAUAGUCGAUCAUAUGUUGGAAGUAGGUAUGAAUCAAGACUGUCAUGAGUUGAUUGUAGAGGUCUAAGUUGUUGGACAUGAAUACAACAUUCAUGAGUGCUCAUAAGUUUUAAGCAUUGGAUUCAACCCACGCUCACUGGUAUCACUUCAUGGAAUUUAUCUCGAGUGAUCGUGAGACAGUAAUAGUUGGAUUAAUGUCUAAGUCCAUAACUAUAAUUGGUAAGACUUGACCCGACCCGACAUGGUCCAUUUGGGUUGCAUGGCAUCAUGCAUUUGGAUAGAUAAUAAUGAGAGAAACAACACUUAAUGUUGGUUAAUAUAUUAUAAGUUCUAAUAUAUUAAUAAGGUUAUUUAAUUAGUAUUGAUCAAGAAUUAAUUUGGAAUUAAUUAAGUGAUCAAAAGGAGACUAAUUAAAUAUAUGGGUUGAUUGUGUAAAUCAUUCAUUCUUAUAUAUGUGGGCUUGUGAUCCAAGAUUCCUUAUGUUGGACUAAGUCCAUGGGGUAACCCAUGGAUACUCCAUGGAGGUUAAAAUCCAUGGAGCAUAAGGAAUGAAUAAAGUUAUGAGUUACAUGGUGUAACCCUAAUAGCCACCAUAUAAAAGAAUCCCAUGGCUCAAGAAAUCGGUUACUGUGUGUGAGAAUGAAGGGCUAACCCAUUUCAUGAAGUGUCCAUUUUCUCUCAAGUCAUUCCAUGCGUAUUUGGUGUUGUGUGAACCAUUUGAGGUGUCACACUUGGGGCACUAGGCACUCGAUCUUCAUGAAGACAAUCUACAUCAAAGAGGUAUGUAAUUCUAACUUGAUAUAUUCAUUUGAAUCAAUGUUAUUAUGCUAGUUAGGAUGAAUACCUUGGAAAGUUCAUAUUUACAUGUAUAAUAGAGAAAACAUAGAUUCAAUGUAUUUAGGGUUUCAUGUACACUUAGGAGUGUUAGAAUGCUCAAAACCCAACACUGGUACCAGAGCCUAGGCUUCUUUUCAAUUAUACUUGAUGCAAAUUGCUGAAAAAUGCUGAAAAAAUCGAUUUUCUAGCUUUUUGGGCACUGGACUCGCCGAGUCCACUGAUGAACUCGCAGAUUCCAUGAAGAAAAUCAUCUUUCUCGUCGACUAGGAACCCUGGACAACAUAUUUUCGAGUUUUUUGGCUAGAAAUGGACUAGGAAUAUUACCCUAAGUUGUUUUUGGACUUAUAAACUUGUUUUUGAUGUGGUAAUGUUCAUGCUAAUCCAAUUUCAAAGAUAAUUGUCAAUAGAUUCAUGUUUUGUAUUAGUUUAGUGAUUAGGCUAAUUACAUGAAAAAUUUUGAUUUGAAUUAUCUUGUUCUUAUGGGUUGCUUAGAUUAAUAGAAAAGUUAAUUGAUUAUGUGUUUUCAAUCCAUUUUAAUCUAAGAUUUGAUUCUAAAAUGUGUUUUUUUAACUUGUCCUCAAGUUAUAUGAAAAGUCACAUUUAAGUUUCAUAAAACUCAUAAAAGUUGGCAAUGGUUACAAAAAAUGAAGAGGCUUGUCCUCAAGUUAUGGAGGUUCAAGAGUCACUUCAUUAAGUAAUAAAAUAAGUAACCUUAAUUAAUUCCAUAUGUUACAAAAUAAAGGAAAAGUUACAUUCUUUUAUUAGUUUAAAGUCUUCCAUAACUUUUCCUCAAGUUAUGGAACUUGAAGAGUCUUUUAACUAAAACUACUUUAAACACAUAAGUUAUGGAAUUAAUUAGUUUUGAAUAGUUUCAAAACUUGCCCUCAAGUUUUGGAAUUUGAAAAAGUUUUCACUUAUGAAUACUUUAAUUCCAAGUUAGCCCUUAUAAUUUUAAAAGUUAAAAUUCAACCCUUAUACUUUAUAAUAUUAUAAGUUAAUAAUAUUUAUAUUUAUGUAUAAGAGUAAAGUCACUCUUACCGUUAGUAGGACUCAUUCAACCUAUAAAAUGGCAGUUUAAUGGGUGUCCACUCUCACUCACCACUUCCUUGACUGGUGGAGGGUUGUUAGCUGAACGGGGAGGACAAGGACUAUAAUUCUACUUUCAUUAAAAGUAUUAAUGAUAAAUACUAAGUAACUAAACCUUUUAUAAAUACCCAAUCUUAUUUACUUAGGAAAAUGUGAAUAAGGUGCUAAUCCAUGAAAUUACACCUUGUACUUUGCUUAAGUCUAUUAGUGGAGCGUGUGUGGUUAACCGAAACACUUACUCGUAUUUAACAAGGUAGGAAAAGGGUAACUUAAUGUUUAUCAUAGUAUCGAUGGAGCGUGUGUGGUUAACCGACACAUCGAUUGAGGGGUAAACACUUAAGGGUACCAAGUAUAUUUGCAUGGUUAUUCACACCUUGUUUUGUGAUCCUCGGCAUCCCAGUCACAAAACCUGAAGGGCACACUCGAGAUUGAAACAUGCCAUUGAAAAGUUCAAUGAAUCUCAAAAGAUCUAGGAGUUUCAAAUCCAAUUAAAACCUAAUAAUACAUUUCGUUUAUCUUAGUGGAAAUUGGUGAAUCGUCAUUCACCUACCUUCAAAUAUUUUAUAGCUUGG